rnacentral:sRNA from 1 species
GCCAGGCGAGGUGGCAGGCGCCUGUAGUCCCAGCUACUCGGGAGGCUGAGGCAGGAGAAUGGCGUAAACCCGGGAGGCGGAGCUUGCAGUGAGCUGAGAUCCGGCCACUGCACUCCAGCCUGCGCCACAGAGCGAGACUCCGUCUCAAAAAAAUAAAUAAAUAAAUAAAAAUAAAAAUAAAAAACAAGUGACCCUUCUUGGAGGUGGUUUUUUUGUUGUUGUUGUUGUUGUUGAGAUGGAGUGUCACUCUGUCACCCAGGCUGGAGUGCAGUGGCCGGAUCUCAGCUCACUGCAAGCUCCGCCUUCCGGGUUUACGCCAUUCUCCUGCCUCAG